UUCAAAGAGUAGCAGCAGAGCCUCCCCAGGUUCCUAUCUCCAGCUUUAGCUGAUGCGGACAGAGAUGCUGUCGUGCUGUAACAGCCUUGCUAGAAGAAGAUGCAAUAGCUAUUAACACAAAGAAUGCGGAGCGUGAUUCACGGGAGCUCAGCGGCUCACUGUGCAGACUGAGCUCCAGAUGGUCUCCCAUGUCUCGCCCUGCCCCGCCUAGCUGCUGUCUCACUGCCGCUUGCAGCCUGGCUCCUCUUCCCCCAGCUGCUUCUGAUUCCAGGCUGACAUUGCCACGUGGUGGCUUUAGUGUGACUGGGGACAGUGGGGAGGCAGCAUCUCAGCUGCCUCAUCCCCCACUACAAAUGGAUGUGGAGCCAGGAGGAUGCUCAGUGGUUCAGAAAGCUCCUGUACAAAGUAUCCUGAAGAGAUGAAGACUUCUGUCUCAGCAGACAAACUAGAAGCGAUUCGUGGAACAGAAAUGCUAAUCAACACAUCCUGACUUGCAAUUAUUCAGUGAACUUCUCAGAAAAGCCUUCCAGACUGUUACCAGGUAGAGAAAUCCAACAGCAUGCGAAUGCCCACGAACCCACGUGAGGAGGGACAUCACUCAUUGCAGCUGAUCAAUUCUGUACCGCUUGCUCUGGACUUGGGGGGCUGCUGUAAGCUCAGCCACACCAAAGGCUCUUGUAUAUACUAAAAAGCAAAGUAUUUUUAAUAUCAGCAGAUGGUGCUGUCAAAGAUAGCUGCAAAAAUGCAGCCCAACAAGACACGGAGGCAGACUCAAGUGAGCACAGAGCCAUUUGCCCUGGGGUUUGCUCUUUUCAGAAGCUGUUGCCUGCACCCAGCAGAGGCUGUUUCUUGCUUGAACCUCUCUGAUUGAGGAGAGAAAUGACCCUGAGUUUUGUCCAGCCAUAGAGUGUUUCCUCUUUCUGAUGAGCAGCGGUUUGGGGCGGGUCUGACCUCUGAUACAGAGCAACAGCUUAAUUAACUUCUGGGAGACAUCAAGUCACUACAGCCAACAAGGACAUCACCACCAACUUCAUGGGGCUGGACCAUCAUGCUUCACCUCUGGGAGAUUUGCUGCUUUGGGGCUUAUUCCUGCAAAGACAAUGAGAAAUGUAGCGUUCAGUACUACAUUAUAUGCUUGAGCUACAGUCUUUUUUACAAUAUGAUUAUAAAGAGAUUGAUAAUAUGUCAACCUGUCCAUAGCCAGAAAUCAGCUGAGCAUCACUGCCAUCACACCCAUUUAUGACCAGGUAUGGGAUUUUCUAGAGAACAGGCUGCUUGAACAUUAAUUCCCAAUAAAUGCUUGUUUCAAAAGCUACUGGGGGAUAAAAGAUUUUGGAAGGAUGGGGAGAGAUGUUCUUUUCAAGUAGAGAAGAAAGAAGCUUGCAACUCAUGUCCUAAGAGAUGCCUUGGAGGGUGCCCCAAUCCAGCACCUUGCACAGGUCAUACAGGACCUGGAGCUCUGAGCUCAGGGUUUUGCACAGUGUUUGCAGGACAGGAGUAUCCCGUUUCCAUCCCCUCAGGCAGCAACAGCCCAAGGAUCCAACGCCAUCCACUGUUUCACAGGAAAGGUCACUCCCAAGCCAGUGCUUCAGUGUGGUGUUGCCACAUGCUCAUGAUAAAUUACUGUUCCCAGCUCAUAAAGGCACUAUUGAAUUUGGCACUUACUCAGAGAAAUCCUCAGCAGAUGCCGUCCUUCCAGAGAGCCCCAGGCGGGCAGUUUGCUGGGUCUGUAUUUAAAGUCGACCAAGUCUCUUCAGUUUCUGUUGUGUUUCUCACCUUAUUUAAGCAGGAAGGCUUAAAUGAUAAGAUCAAGAACUUCUCUGAAAAUCAUCUAUAUUCACAUCCUGCCCUGGAGCUGGACUCUUUGUACCCGUCCUCUGCCGAAGGGCACGGCUUGCCCUCUUCCAUAUGUAAAGCUUUGACUGGCAGCACAGCAUUCUUAUUGCACGUCAGGGUCACUAUAUCCUCCACAUCAGGAACCCAAGGAGCAGAGAAGGGGCUGUACCUUUUAUUUCCUUCCUGCCUAUUUGCAGCUCAGUUGCAUCUUCUUUUUAGCACCUGUUUAGGCCGAAUUGUGCCUGAUCUAUCACCUGCCUGUCUUCUCUUUCUGGCCAGACUGGUGGUGUAGCCACAUCCAGAGGAAGCAGCAUCUCCUUUUCACCUGCUGGUGUGGAAAUAAGGGUACAGCUGUUUGGCAAAAUCAGAGGGAACAUGAGCAGGUUUCCAGGCUCAUGGUUAAGGUGAUGCUGUGCCAGAUCUGGGCAGGAGACAGGUUGUUCUCCAAAAAGUUUAAGAGGAAGCUGAACAGUCUGUCAGGGGGCAGGUGGCUUGAGGUGGGACUGAUGGGCUCUGGAAGCCCAGCUCCUGGCUGAGAUGUCAGGAUGCAUCUUCUCCUCCAGCAUCCCACUGCAGCUUUGAGACACUGCAGCCUGCCAGGCACAGUGCUGUAUCGCAGCACGCUUGGAUGUUCAGCUUCAACUUGCUGGGAAAACUCUCUCCUUCUUCUCACUUCGGGAAAAAUUAAGUAAGAAAGUGACUUGCUGGCUUUCCCCCCUUCUUAGCAGUUCCUCGCAUGCAUUACUGCAUCAAUCUCCUAAUUACCUGGCAGGCUGGGCUGCGUUCUGCGGUUUGUGGAGGGGCUGCUGUUUGCUGCCCCUCUCCUCUCUUGAUAUUUGAGGGAUAACGGCUCCCCUGCUGAAAUCCAGCUCUCCUUUGAGGCUCCAACAUGAAGAGCCUGGGCAUAUGCUGUUCUUUUGGGCUCUUUCUGGCAUCAGAUUUCUGUGGGUGUACAAAAAUCUGGAGCUUUGGGUUGUGUCUAUCUAAAGGUAUCGAUAGGUGCUAUGACCUGGGCUGAAAACAGCCCCUUGGAUUUUUGUGUGUUACCAGGGCUGCCUGUGUAUUCCUUUCCCUCUGAUGCUGGAAGGGCCAAUUAAUUGGUAUAUAAAGUCAAGGCUGUGUGGUGCCCCCGUUAUUGCUCCUUCCCCACUCACUCCCAUUUCUGCUAGUGCAGGGAAGCUCUCCAGGAGCACUGGAACAGACUCUGUGCCUUCUGACUCAGCAGCUUCUGUCUUCAAGGAACUUUCCUGUAGAAGACCAUGAGGAGAUUUUUAUCACUCAGAUAGUGUCUGGGCUCCUUUCUGCUGGGAAUUGCCAGCACCAGGGACUUGCACAACUCACCUGGAGGGUGCCACGCACAGGGGAGCACCCAUGUGCAGUGAUGGGGUAUUAGCAAACCCAUUUACUGGUGAGGGGCAGGCAGAUGUGACCACAGAUUCUUGCUCUGCAGCUUUCCCACCCUGGAAGCAAUCCUUCUGUGAUUCAAGCUGGGUCCUGGGUCCACUGGUAAUGUGAUGUAUUUUCUGAAGCUCCAGCAAAGAGUUAUUCUGGAUGUACAUAUCACCUCUGCUCAUCAAGAGGCACAGACAUCCUCAUCAUGAGGUUUUUUUCUGAUGUGACCAGAGAUCUUCCAACAGCUUAGUGGCUGAUGAAGGUGCCCAGGCUGCAGACAAAACAAUCUAUCACUUGCCCAGGGAGCCAGAGAUCCUCGUUACCUAACCAAGAGGGGAUAAUAAUUCCCCAAAUCCCAUAAUAUCUGCAGUGCAAUAGCUUUUGCUUCAACAGCAAAGAGGUUAUGAGGUCUCCCGACAUCCACCAUACGCUCCAGACAGCUGCUGGGAGUGACGCUGAAUUAAUCUAAGAGGGAUAGCUUCCUCUAGGCUUGAUUUCACAGCUGAGUGUUUUUUUGCAAUAGAAAAAGGUAGUUAUAAGAAAGGGGUUAUUUCCAGAUGAGGCACAUCCAUGCUAUUGCUCAUCUUUUCCUCGUGAUUGUACUGGGCUUGGUCUGGUGGGGUUCCUGCUGGGGGAUGAAGCUGGGGGUGGGAUCCCUUUGGCAUUGCCGAGAGCCACGGUCCCAUGGGAGAAGUUGGCAGUGCCAGGCCUCCCCAGCCACCAUCGCCCACCUGUCUGCAGGUAAUGGUGUUACUUGGGUCGCAAAGUCUUCCGCUGCCUCACCUGUGCCCAGUACUACCCCAGCGACCUCCCGCUUCCUCUUGCAGCUCUCCCACUGCACCCCAGCCCCCACCUGCAGCCCCUCCGUCGCAUUCACUCCAAACUCUUCCUUGUCACAAACCUGGUUUUAGAUGUACGGAACCUAAAGCAGCUGCUCUCUCCUUUUUAACAGCGCAACACUUCAUUCUGCUGUUGAGAUCGCAGGUUUCUGCCAGCACAGAACAUGAAAUUGCUGGACUUACUCAGCCUCAAGGUCUAUUUAUCCAAGACCACGACUUCCCCUGUGAUCUGGGAUUCCUGGAGUGGCUGUUUCACCGAUGACAGUUUAACACUGAAGCAGAGCUGAGAACAGAACAUAAACCCAGCUCCCAGCACUUCAAGACUUCCAUUGCAUGCAGUUUGAUAAAUCUGAAAGGGUUUUAAGCAAAC